GAUGAACGCUGGCGGCGUGCCUAAUACAUGCAAGUCGAGCGAACGGACGAGAAGCUUGCUUCUCUGAUGUUAGCGGCGGACGGGUGAGUAACACGUGGAUAACCUACCUAUAAGACUGGGAUAACUUCGGGAAACCGGAGCUAAUACCGGAUAAUAUUUUGAACCGCAUGGUUCAGAAGUGAAAGACGGUCUUGCUGUCACUUAUAGAUGGAUCCGCGCUGCAUUAGCUAGUUGGUAAGGUAACGGCUUACCAAGGCAACGAUGCAUAGCCGACCUGAGAGGGUGAUCGGCCACACUGGAACUGAGACACGGUCCAGACUCCUACGGGAGGCAGCAGUAGGGAAUCUUCCGCAAUGGGCGAAAGCCUGACGGAGCAACGCCGCGUGAGUGAUGAAGGUCUUCGGAUCGUAAAACUCUGUUAUUAGGGAAGAACAUAUGUGUAAGUAACUGUGCACAUCUUGACGGUACCUAAUCAGAAAGCCACGGCUAACUACGUGCCAGCAGCCGCGGUAAUACGUAGGUGGCAAGCGUUAUCCGGAAUUAUUGGGCGUAAAGCGCGCGUAGGCGGUUUUUUAAGUCUGAUGUGAAAGCCCACGGCUCAACCGUGGAGGGUCAUUGGAAACUGGAAAACUUGAGUGCAGAAGAGGAAAGUGGAAUUCCAUGUGUAGCGGUGAAAUGCGCAGAGAUAUGGAGGAACACCAGUGGCGAAGGCGACUUUCUGGUCUGUAACUGACGCUGAUGUGCGAAAGCGUGGGGAUCAAACAGGAUUAGAUACCCUGGUAGUCCACGCCGUAAACGAUGAGUGCUAAGUGUUAGGGGGUUUCCGCCCCUUAGUGCUGCAGCUAACGCAUUAAGCACUCCGCCUGGGGAGUACGACCGCAAGGUUGAAACUCAAAGGAAUUGACGGGGACCCGCACAAGCGGUGGAGCAUGUGGUUUAAUUCGAAGCAACGCGAAGAACCUUACCAAAUCUUGACAUCCUUUGACAACUCUAGAGAUAGAGCCUUCCCCUUCGGGGGACAAAGUGACAGGUGGUGCAUGGUUGUCGUCGGCUCGUGUCGUGAGAUGUUGGGUUAAGUCCCGCAACGAGCGCAACCCUUAAGCUUAGUUGCCAUCAUUAAGUUGGGCACUCUAAGUUGACUGCCGGUGACAAACCGGAGGAAGGUGGGGAUGACGUCAAAUCAUCAUGCCCCUUAUGAUUUGGGCUACACACGUGCUACAAUGGACAAUACAAAGGGCAGCGAAACCGCGAGGUCAAGCAAAUCCCAUAAAGUUGUUCUCAGUUCGGAUUGUAGUCUGCAACUCGACUACAUGAAGCUGGAAUCGCUAGUAAUCGUAGAUCAGCAUGCUACGGUGAAUACGUUCCCGGGUCU
rnacentral:rRNA from 1 species